rnacentral:rRNA from 1 species
UGAGGAAUAUUGGUCAAUGGGCGAGAGCCUGAACCAGCCAAGUAGCGUGCAGGAUGACGGCCCUAUGGGUUGUAAACUGCUUUUAUGCGGGGAUAAAGUGAGCCACGUGUGGCUUAUUGCAGGUACCGCAUGAAUAAGGACCGGCUAAUUCCGUGCCAGCAGCCGCGGUAAUACGGAAGGUCCGGGCGUUAUCCGGAUUUAUUGGGUUUAAAGGGAGCGUAGGCCGUCUGGUAAGCGUGUUGUGAAAUGUCGGGGCUCAACCUGGGCAUUGCAGCGCGAACUGUCAGACUUGAGUGCGCGGGAAGUAGGCGGAAUUCGUCGUGUAGCGGUGAAAUGCUUAGAUAUGACGAAGAACUCCGAUUGCGAAGGCAGCCUGCUGUAGCGCAACUGACGCUGAAGCUCGAAAGCGUGGGUAUCGAACAGG